AUUGAACGCUGGCGGCAUGCCUAACACAUGCAAGUCGAGCGGAUGAAGGGAGCUUUCUCCUGGAUUCAGCUGCGGACGGGUGAGUAAUGCCUAGGAAUCUGCCUUGUAUUUGGGGAUAACGUCCGUAAACGGGCGCUAAUACCGCAUACGUCCUGAGGUAGAAAGUGGGGGAUCUUCGGACCUCACGCUAUCUGAUGAGCCUAGGUCGGAUUAGCUAGUUGGUGGGGUAAAGGCCUACGAAGGCGACGAUCCGUAACUGGUCUGAGAGGAUGAUCAGUCACACUGGAACUGAGACACGGUCCAGACUCCUACGGGAGGCAGCAGUGGGGAAUCUUGGACAAUGGGCGAAAGCCUGAUCCAGCCAUGCCGCGUGUGUGAAGAAGGUCUUCGGAUUGUAAAGCACUUUAAGUUGGGAGGAAGGGCAGUAAGUUAAUACCUUGCUGUUUUGACGUUACCAACAGAAUAAGCACCGGCUAACUUCGUG
rnacentral:rRNA from 1 species